rnacentral:rRNA from 1 species
AGAGUUUGAUCCUGGCUCAGGAUGAACGCUGGCGGCGUGCCUAACACAUGCAAGUUGAACGAAGCAUAUGCACGGAAUUCUUCGGAAGGAAGAGCGUAUGACUUAGUGGCGGACGGGUGAGUAACGCGUGGGCAACCUGCCCUGUACAGGGGGACAACAGCCGGAAACAGCUGCUAAUACCCCAUAAGCGCACGGUACCGCAUGGUACGGUGUGAAAAGCCGAGACGGUACAGGAUGGGCCCGCGUCUGAUUAGAUAGUUGGUGGGGUAACGGCCUACCAAGUCAGCGAUCAGUAGCCGGCCUGAGAGGGUGAACGGCCACAUUGGAACUGAGACACGGUCCAAACUCCUACGGGAGGCAGCAGUGGGGAAUAUUGCACAAUGGGGGAAACCCUGAUGCAGCGACGCCGCGUGAAGGAAGAAGUAUUUCGGUAUGUAAACUUCUAUCAGCAGGGAAGAAAAUGACGGUACCUGACUAAGAAGUCCCGGCUAACUACGUGCCAGCAGCCGCGGUAAUACGUAGGGGGCAAGCGUUAUCCGGAUUUACUGGGUGUAUAAGGGAGCGUAGGCGGCAUGGCAAGCGAGAUGUGAAAGGCCGGGGCUCAACCCCGGGACUGCAUUUGGAACUGCCGGGCUGGAGUGUUGGAGAGGUAAGCGGAAUUCCUAGUGUAGCGGUGAAAUGCGUAGAUAUUAGGAGGAACACCAGUGGCGAAGGCGGCUUACUGGACAAAGACUGACGCUGAGGCUCGAAAGCGUGGGGAGCAAACAGGAUUAGAUACCCUGGUAGUCCACGCCGUAAAC